CUAAUGACGUGAGGCUAGUGGCGCACCAGCAGUGCGCCAUUAGAAGGCAAAACUGGUGCGCCACUAGCAUGCCUUUUCCUAGUAGUGUGGUGGGUGCGUUGGCCCAUCAUCUCCCCAAGUGGGAGAGUGAACGUCAUAAUUUGUGGUAGAGGGGGUACGCGUUCGCGCAGCCCCUGC
rnacentral:snRNA from 1 species